rnacentral:rRNA from 1 species
UACGUAGGGUGCAAGCGUUGUCCGGAAUUAUUGGGCGUAAAGGGCUCGUAGGCGGUUUGUCGCGUCGGGAGUGAAAACAUCUGGCUUAACUGGGUGCCUGCUUUCGAUACGGGCAGACUAGAGGUAUGCAGGGGAGAACGGAAUUCCUGGUGUAGCGGUGAAAUGCGCAGAUAUCAGGAGGAACACCGGUGGCGAAGGCGGUUCUCUGGGCAUGAUCUGACGCUGAGGAGCGAAAGUGUGGGGAGCGAACAGG